UGACUCCAUCUCUACCCAUUUUGCUUAUUGUUCCCAAAGGAUCCUGACACCAGCAAAUGUACAAAUUAUAAACAUUACCCUGGAGCUGUACAAGUCACACACAGCUCCACUUGAGAGAAAACUGGAUGGAACCAUUUGACUGAAAAUCCAUGUCCAAGGCCAACAAGAAAGAGCUGAGACACUGCAGAAAGAGCAGGAAUAAAUAAAAGGUGAAGACAGACAGAGACCAGACAAGGAGGACUCAAUUACAGACUGAUAGAAGACUCAAGGAAGAAAAUGAAGCUGGACCUGUGAAGAACUGUCGAAAUAGCUGUAGAGGAAUUGUGGUGGAGGCAGUAAUGGCUCCUUUAGUAGCAGAGAAUAGAAAGAUCUCGAAAACAAAGCCUAUUGUCAGGAGACUUGCACCCAUCCUGGCCUACUUCCAAGUAGAAACAGAAACAGAAACGAAGAUAUCCAUGACACCUAAUGUUAUAAGGAGAAGAAAGCACUUGUAAUCACAAGGGUACUGAGAAAAGGACUACACAUGCCCAGCAAAAAGCAGAAGCAGUGAAUGAACAAUUAUUUGGGAUGAUGCUAAUGGCUGAUGUCUCAGAGGAGGCAAGCACCCUUUCCCAGACAACCCAGUUUCUUGACUCUCAGCCUUCUUUGGUUUAACUUUGGAUUGUUAACCCUUUACUGCCUGAAACCUUGUCUAACUCCCUGUGCCUUUGGAGUACGAAGUUCCCAGUGUAUCAUCUGCAUUGAUUUUGGUUCCUGUUUCACAAGCUGUGCAUCACAGACCUUUAUCUUGCAAUUAUCCAUGGUCCGGAUGACCAACUUCAGCCUUAAAACCAGGAGCAGACUUUUCCAAUCAACUUUUGCAAAUUCAAGGGGAAAGAAAGAAAAGAACCAUGUAGGCUCUUGGAAGUUACUUCUCUUAGGGAAAAAGGAAGGAUAUAGCUUGAUAUUUUUACUGCAGUCUCCCCAAACCUCCCACCCAUCAUGCUGCCAACAUCAUUAUUAAUCUGUACCUUCUCUGGAAUUUUACGGGCAUGUUGAAUUCAUUGUCAGCUCCAGAAAAGAGCAAAGCAUGGUGUGGACAAUUUAAAACCACAUUCAGUUGCUUUAUUUUGGCCAAAAGUUUAAACAUUUUUGUCCUUUAUUAUAUUUUUUAGCUUGUUAAGCCAUUUGCAGAACUACUGCUAUAGAUUAAAGCUGACAGGUCUGAGCACAUAGUAUAAUUGUGUGAUGCACACAUGUGUGUAUUCCCUUCCCUACACACACACACACACACAUUCCAUCAGCAUGUCAGAUUUAUGGAAUUUGGAAUGUUUCUUUCUCUAGAGAAUGGUAUAACAUUUACAUAAAAUAUCAGCUUACAUUUUGUGAAAUUUGACAAAUUACUCAUAAAUCUCUCUUUCUCCCUUAAUCUGUUCUUGACAUGCCCCCAAAAGUUUUGAGAUGGCCUUAGUGAUACAUCUUAUACUCAUGUCAAGUAUUUUGUUGACAUCAAUAGGAGUUUUACUCAUGUAAAAACCCCUGGAUUGGGUUACCAGACACAUGAAGCAGACAAGAAGCAUUCAAAAGUUGCCAGUGAAUAAGAAGUGUCAAAUAAGUGUCCACCA